CGCUAGGGAUGGUUCAGCGAGGAGAGUUCCCUGCGCGCCGCCUUCUACAUACCACCCGCGCACCCUCCUGGAGGAAGCCGCCGAGCCGAGGCGCGUCGAAGGAAGGCGGCCACCCAACUUUCCCGAGCAUCAUAUAGAAGUUCUCCGGGCUAGGGGUCCAAAUUGGAACUGCAGCUGAGGCCUUAUACCACAGCAACACCAGACCCAGCCUCAUCUGAGACCUACCUACCCACUGGAAGCUUAUGGCAACACUGGAUCCUUAACCCACCAAACCAGGCCAGAUAUCAAGCCCACAUUCUCCCAGAGACAACGUCGUUGGAUCCUUAAUCCACUGAGCUACAGUGGGAAGUCCAAGCCAUACUCGACUCCUGGUUGUCCUUGGAACAAGCCAAACUUGGCUCCCAACCUCAAGGCUGGUCUCUCAGGAAUGCUCUUUUCAGAACCAUCUGCUUCUCCUCAGUCAUGGCUUAGACAAAAGCCACAUUCUGAGAGCACCUGUCUUUGACCUCUCUGUCCAAGGUAGUUACCUCGGCACUCUCAAUUACAGUCUCCUGUUUUAUUAUAUAUUUUUUAAUUUUUUAAAUUAAAAAAAAAAAUUUUUUUUUGGUCUUUUUUUGCCAUUUCUUGGGCCGCUCCUGUGGCCUGGAGGUUCCCAGGCUAGGGGUCUAAUCAGAGCUGUAGCUGCCAGCCUACACCAGAGCUACAGUAACGCAGGAUCCGAGCCAUGUCUGCAACCUAUACCACAGCUCAUGGCAACACUGGAUCCUUAACCCACUGAGCAAGCCAAGGAUCGAACCCGCAACCUCAUGGUUCCUAGUCAGAUGCGUUAACCACUGAGCCACGACAGGAACUCCUCCUGUUUUACUUUUUCUCAUGGAGCUUAUGACUAUCUCAAAUUAUCCUGUUUGUUUACUUAUUUAUUUCCUUUAUCCUCAACUAAUAUGUAAGCCCCAUGAGAACAGGCAUCAGGCUUUUUCUUUGCAGUAUCUGGAACACCUAGAAUAAUGCCUACACGUUUAGUUGCUACAUACGUAUCUGUGGAGUGAAGGACUGAAACCAUUAGUAAGAGAUGGCUGAAGCACAUUGCUGAGAAUUCUGAAGCCACAUCCUGGCUUACAAAGGAGGCUGUGAUUGACAAGUAAUGUCUGCCCUGAGCACAGGAAGGAGAAAUGAUCACAACAAUACUGUAUUAGACAUCCUGCAUGUGUCCUUUGGUGGGCAGUGGCCCAAGCCUAGUCUACUAAAACCUCAGAUGGGUCUGAUGAUACAACAGGAAGUAGAACACAAAAUUAUGUCACCAUGGAAUGGCUGAACUGCCAACAUACCCACUUCCUCUGGCAUACCUCUGAAAAGCCCAGAAAGAUUGAAAAGGUGGGUGAUAUUAGGGCUCCGAGCUUCUCUAACCUAGCAAGUUCCUCAUUCCACAGAGGUUUUCAGAGCCACUAAGUAUCAGGUGCACCUUCAUGAAGAACUAGGAAGGCAACAAGGCAUUGUUGCCACUCACUAGUAUCCUUGUUUGGCUUAUCUGUCAGCAAAACAAAAGGAAAAGUGAUUUACAAUCCAAGAGCUGAACUUUAAAUCUGUAAGGGCCUUGGAGGUCCAGCCGGACUUAGGAGCCCCUGAAUAUUUUUGAGUACUGGAGUUACAAGGGCAAAAAGCAAGAUGCCUCAACUUAUGUUAAGAAAACGGCAGUAUUAAUCAACCAUCAACUGAUGUGGCAAUAAAGUGAGGAGGAGACACUAGAACCUGGAAGAUCACUUUGAAAGCAACUAGAGUAAAGCAGAUAAUGAGUUAAGGAAGGCUUCUGCCUAGCAUGGCGAAAAAUGCCAAGAAAAAGGAGCAAAAGAGGGGAGGCAAUACAAAAGAUUGACUGCAUCUGGGAGGUAAGUGAGAAGGAAAAGUAAAGGAUGAUUUAAAUGUUUUGAGCUGAGUUGAAAAUAAAAAUGACACCACCAUUGAUUCUCCUGAGUAUGUCAGGAGGUGUAAUUAAUUUUUGAUAAAAGAUGAAUUCAGUGCUAAGUACAUUACAUUUGAAGUGUCAGUCGAAUGUGUAAGCAAGGAUAUUAAGCAAAUAAUUGGAGUUAUAGCUUUGAAGCUCAGCAGGCAGUUACAGACUAGAGAUUUGGAUCAGAAAGUUUGAUGCCAGGAUAGUGGAUAAGAUAAGAGCCUUCAAGAAAGAAACAACUUAACGCCAAGGGCUGAGACGCAUCUCCAUCUGUGGGGUGUGGGUAGGAUGGAAUAAAAAGGAAAGGGAAAAAAAAGAACCCACAGGGAGGGCCAGAGAUCCUAGGGUAAUGUGUUUUUCAAGCUAAGGAGAUGAGCAUUUCAAAAAGGAAAGAUGAUCAAACUUAGUGAGAAAAGACAACUGACCUAGAAAUUAGAUCAUUUGGUGACUAUGAAGACAGAUGUUUUAAGUCAUAAUGGGGUUUAAGCCAGAUUACAAUGUAAGGCAUUAAGUGAGUCUGUGUGAGGUGAAAAAAUAAAGGCCACAAGUACAAAUUCCUCUAACAAGCCAGCUGGGGAAGGAAUGAGAAAGGAUGCUAACUUGAGGGGUUAGCAGAGUUCAGAGAAAAUAUUUUCAAGAUGAGAAACUCUAUGUAUUUUGUACACAGAGGUGGAAAGUUUAAGGAAAAGGAGAACUGGAAGUUUCAGGGGAAAGAUGAAUCAGCUGUGAUCUAAGACAAGCUGAUCACGGGCUUUUAAGGUGCCACAUAUUAAACAUGGAGACAGUAAGACCAGAAAACAAGAGUGUGCAGCUGGAAUGCUGUAACAGUGGAAAAGGAGCAAAAACAAGUGCUCUGGGGUGGUGGACAAAAAGCCGCUAAAAAGGCAGCAAAAGGCAAGUGGGUUCCCAGGAAGCUGCAGCUCUGCUGAGCUCUCUGGAGCUCAAGUAGACAUUAGCUUGGAAUCUGUGUGUUUCUGACAUUCCUGGACGCUUUCAUCUCUUUCGAGUGGAGCAGAAGGCAUAAGGGUUGGGUCCUUUACUUCCCGCUCUGCCCUGUCCUCCUAAGUAACAUCACUGCCUCCUUAGACUGGAACUGACUUGCACACCAGCUAAACCCAUCUUGACACGAAGUUCAUGUCUAGUGAAGGGAGCCUGGCCAUCAGGGACUUAGGGCACUGGGCUGCUGGACUUUUCCCGCACAGCUUCCCCCAGUACAGAAAGGAGAGACAUCUGUUUAGCGAAGUUGAGAGGUUAGUGUAUGGAAAGGAAAUGAAAAUGAAGACCCAUGAGUGAGCGGAGGGAGAGAUGCCUGAGAAGCAAGAUGGGUUACCCAACAUCGCUCCAGAAAGGCUCAAGAUCUGAGAUACUAGGAAAGGAGAGGGGCAGCUGGAGGCCUCAAGAUGGAGUGGUUAGAUCCCAGUUUUUCAUCCUAAGCACAGUCUGGCUCUACACAUCCCCUAGCUCCACAAGGAACUUGUUCUCUCCAGAGGAAUGGAAGCGAAGAGGCUACAGCAGGGUGGCAUCCAUCGAGAAGAGCGUGAGUGAAGCCUGGGACAAAAAUUAACAAAGUCUGUCGACUUCUGCAUAUCCAGCAGUGGGCCUCCCAGCCUUCUUUCCCAGGCUAGCUCCGGGACUCCAUCAGAGCUCUUCUGUCACAGGCCUUGCCUAUACACAUAAAGAUACCAGACAGCUGGAGUUACUGCUAUGGUGCAACGGGAUCAGCGGUGUCUCUUCAGCGCCAGGAUGCAGGUCAAACCCCAUCCUGGCACAAUGGUUAAAGGAUCUGGUGUUGCCACGGCUGUGGGUUAAGUCGCAAAUGCUGCUUAGAUCUGAUCCCUGGCGCUUAAACUCCCUAUGCUGUGGGGUGGCCAAUAAAGAAAAAAAAAGAAAAAAGAAAGGAAAAAAAAAAAAAG
rnacentral:lncRNA from 1 species